UGGGGAAUAUUGCGCAAUGGGCGAAAGCCUGACGCAGCCACGCCGCGUGAGUGAUGAAGGCCUUCGGGUUGUAAAGCUCUGUCGGGAGGGAAGAAGGCCAGCGGUGCAAGCCACGGGCCUGACGGUACCUCGCAAGAAAGCACCGGCUAACUCUGUGCCAGCAGCCGCGGUAAUACAGAGGGUGCAAGCGUUGCUCGGAUUUACUGGGCGUAAAGCGUACGCAGACGGUUUGGUAGGUCGGGUGUGAAAGCCCAGGGCUCAACCCUGGAAAUGCACUCGAAACCACCUCACUUGAGUAUAGGAGAGGGAAGCGGAAUUCCUGGUGUAGAGGUGAAAUUCGUAGAUAUCAGGAGGAACACCGGUGGCGAAGGCGGCUUCCUGGCCUAUUACUGACGUUCAGGUACGAAAGCGUGGGUAGCAAACAGG
rnacentral:rRNA from 1 species